GAGUUUGAUCCUGGCUCAGAACGUACGCUGGCGGCACGCCUAAUACAUGCAAGUCGAACGAAGUAGCAAUACUUAGUGGCAGACGGGUGAGUAGCAUGUAGGUAUCUUCCCAUUGGUGAGGAAUAACACGAGGAAACUUGUGCUAAUACCUCAUAAGUCUUUACGGAGAAAGCUUUAUGCGCCGAUGGAUGAGCCUGCACUUGAUUAGUUUGUUGGUAGGGUAAUGGCCUACCAAGACAAUGAUCAAUAGCUGAUUUGAGAGGAUGAUCAGCCACAUUGGGACUGAGACACGGCCCAAACUCCUACGGGAGGCAGCAGUAGGGAAUCUUGCACAAUGGGGGAAACCCUGAUGCAGCGAUGCCGCGUGAGUGAAGAAGGCCUUUGGGUUGUAAAGCUCUUUCGUCGGGGAAGAAAAUGACUGUACCCGAAUAAGAAGGUCCGGCUAACUUCGUGCCAGCAGCCGCGGUAAUACGAAGGGACCUAGCGUAGUUCGGGAUUACUGGGCUUAAAGAGUUCGUAGGUGGUUAAAAAAGUUGGUGGUGAAAUCCCAGAGCUGAACUCUGGAACUGCCAUCAAAACUUUUUAGCUAGAGUAUGAUAGAGGAAAGCAGAAUUUCUAGUGUAGAGGUGAAAUUCGUAGAUAUUAGAAAGAAUACCGAUUGCGAAGGCAGCUUUCUGGAUCAUUACUGACACUGAGGAACGAAAGCAUGGGUAGCGAAGAGGAUUAGAUACCCUCGUAGUCCAUGCCGUAAACGAUGUGUGUUAGACGUUGGAAAUUUAUUUUCUGUGUCGCAGCGAAAGCAAUAAACACACCGCCUGGGGAGUACGACCGCAAGGUUAAAACUCAAAUGAAUUGACGGGGACCCGCACAAGUAGUGGAGCAUGUGGUUUAAUUCGAAGAUACGCGCAGAACCUUACCAACACUUGACAUGUUCGUCGCGACUUUAAGAGAUUAAAGUUUUCGGUUCGGCCGGACGAAACACAGGUGCAGCAUGGCUGUCGUCAGCUCGUGUCGUGAGAUGUUGGGUUAAGUCCCGCAACGAGCGCAACCCUCACUUUUAGUUGCCAUCAUUUAGUUGGGCACUCUGAAAGAACUGCCAGUGAUAAGCUGGAGGAAGGUGGGGAUGACGCCAAGUCCUCAUGGCCCUUACGUGUUGGGCUACACACGUGCUACAAUGGCAUUUACAAUAGGAAGCAAGACGGCGACGUUAAGCAAAUCCUAAAAAAAUGCCUCAGUUCGGAUUGUACUCUGCAACUCGAGUACAUGAAGCUGGAAUUACUAGUAAUCGCGGAUCAGCGCGCCGCGAUGAAUACGUUCCCGGGUCUUGCACUCACCGCCCGUC
rnacentral:rRNA from 1 species